GACGAAGGUGGCGAGCGUUGUUCGGAAUCACUGGGCAUAAAGAGCACGUAGGCGGCUAAGUCAGUCGGAUGUGAAAUACCUCGGCUCAACCGAGGAACUGCGUCCGAUACUACUUGGCUUGAGGUCCGGAGGGGAGAGUGGAAUUCCCGGUGGAGCGGUGAAAUGCGUAGAGAUCGGGAAGAACGCCGGCGGCGAAAGCGACUCUCUGGUCGGAAUCUGACGCUGAGGUGCGAAAGCUAGGGGAGCAAACGGG
rnacentral:rRNA from 1 species